CAGCACCUCAAGUGGUCAGGAUGAUUAUUGGGCCUAAAGCAUCCGUAGCCGGCUCUGUAAGUUUUCGGUUAAAUCUGUAUGCUCAACAUACAGGCUGCCGGGAAUACUGCAGAGCUAGGGAGUGGGAGAGGUAGACGGUACUCGGUAGGAAGGGGUAAAAUCCUUUGAUCUAUUGAUGACCACCUGUGGCGAAGGCGGCCUACCAGAACACGUCCGACGGUGAGGGAUGAAAGCUGGGGGAGCAAACCGGAUUAGAUACCCGAGUAGUCC
rnacentral:rRNA from 1 species